GAUGAACGCUGGCGGCGUGCCUAACACAUGCAAGUCGAACGAAGCGUGCCGGAGGAAGUUUUCGGAUGGAAUCCGGGAUGACUGAGUGGCGGACGGGUGAGUAACGCGUGGGUAACCUGCCCUGUACAGGGGGACAACAGUUAGAAAUGACUGCUAAUACCGCAUAAGCGCACAGGACCGCAUGGUUCGGUGUGAAAAACUCCGGUGGUACAGGAUGGACCCGCGUCUGAGUAGGUAGUUGGCGGGGUAACGGCCCACCAAGCCGACGAUCAGUAGCCGACCUGAGAGGGUGACCGGCCACAUUGGGACUGAGACACGGCCCAA
rnacentral:rRNA from 1 species